rnacentral:lncRNA from 1 species
AACUCCUUCUGACUGAGUGAAUUAUUAUCUCUGUAAUAAUUCACUUGACUCAUCGACUACAGACGUACUAGGCCACUACGCCGUAGUCCCCAGACGAUACAGGGGAAUCCAAUCCAUUGGACCUGUCUGUCCUCAAUUACCAUGUACCUAUAGUCCCUCAUCCAUCUAAUAUCCCAGAGACCGUAUAUCGAGCAUGGUGCUGUCAGACCCAUACGGUUUCUACUCGAGUCUUGCUCUAAUCGGAUUCUCCCGGAGAACUCUUUCUCUCUCAACCCGAAUGACCCUG